AGCGAACGCUGGCGGCAGGCCUAACACAUGCAAGUCGAACGAACCCUUCGGGGUUAGUGGCGGACAGGUGAGUAACACGUGGGAACGUGCCUUUAGGUUCGGAAUAACUCAGGGAAACUUGUGCUAAUACCGAAUUUGCCCUUCGGGGGAAAGAUUUAUCGCCUUUAGAGCGGCCCGCGUCUGAUUAGCUAGUUGGUGAGGUAAUGGCUCACCAAGGCUACGAUCAGUAGCUGGUCUGAGAGGAUGACCAGCCACAUUGGGACUGAGACACGGCCCAAACUCCUACGGGAGGCAGCAGUGGGGAAUCUUGCGCAAUGGGCGAAAGCCUGACGCAGCCAUGCCGCGUGGAUGAUGAAGGUCUUAGGAUUGUAAAAUCCUUUCACCGGUGAAGAUAAUGACUGUAGCCGAAGAAGAAGCCCCGGCUAACUCCGUGCCAGCAGCCGCGGUAACAC
rnacentral:rRNA from 1 species